rnacentral:rRNA from 1 species
ACUCCUACGGGAGGCUGCAGUAGGGAAUCUUCCACAAUGGACGAAAGUCUGAUGGAGCAACGCCGCGUGAGUGAAGAAGGUUUUCGGAUCGUAAAACUCUGUUGUAAGGGAAGAACACGUACGAGAGUAACUGCUCGUACCUUGACGGUACCUUAUUAGAAAGCCACGGCUAACUACGUGCCAGCAGCCGCGGUAAUACGUAGGUGGCAAGCGUUGUCCGGAAUUAUUGGGCGUAAAGCGCGCGCAGGCGGUUCUUUAAGUCUGAUGUGAAAGCCCACGGCUCAACCGUGGAGGGUCAUUGGAAACUGGAGAACUUGAGUACAGAAGAGGAAAGCGGAAUUCCACGUGUAGCGGUGAAAUGCGUAGAGAUGUGGAGGAACACCAGUGGCGAAGGCGGCUUUCUGGUCUGUAACUGACGCUGAGGCGCGAAAGCGUGGGGAGCAAACAGGAUUAGAUACCCUGGUAGUCCACGCCGUAAACGAUGAGUGCUAAGUGUUAGGGGGUUUCCGCCCCCUUAGUGCUGCAGCUAACGCAUUAAGCACUCCGCCUGGGGAGUACGACCGCAAGGUUGAAACUCAAAGGAAUUGACGGGGGCCCGCACAAACGGUGGAGCAUGUGGUUUAAUUCGAAGCAACGCGAAGAACCUUACCAGGUCUUGACAUCCCACUGACCGGCUUAGAGAUAGGCUUUUCCCUUCGGGGACAGUGGUGACAGGUGGUGCAUGGUUGUCGUCAGCUCGUGUCGUGAGAUGUUGGGUUAAGUCCCGCAACGAGCGCAACCCUUGAUCUUAGUUGCCAGCAUUUAGUUGGGCACUCUAAGGUGACUGCCGGUGAUAAACCGGAGGAAGGUGGGGAUGACGUCAAAUCAUCAUGCCCCUUAUGACCUGGGCUACACACGUGCUACAAUGGACGAUACAAAGGGCUGCAAACCCGCGAGGGGGAGCCAAUCCCAUAAAAUCGUUCUCAGUUCGGAUUGUAGGCUGCAACUCGCCUACAUGAAGCCGGAAUCGCU